rnacentral:miRNA from 1 species
UCGUCCUGAAAACGAAACGGAA